ACACCUCCAAGGUCAAUAAUGGCUUCUUGCUUUGCUCCAAACGCUCAAACUCGCUAGGGUUUCACUCAGGGGACUGGUGAGCACAAAUGACGGCCUUAAGGCCCUUUAAAUAGGUCCCAAACCCGAGAAAUUAGGGUUUCAUUAAACAACGCGGACUCGCCGAGUCCAUACCUUGGACUCGCCGAGUCCAUACCUUGGAUUCGCCGAGUCCAGGCGCGAACCCGCGUCCAGAACCCCGAUCCUACUCG
rnacentral:lncRNA from 1 species